AGUCGAACGAUGAAGCCUAGCUUGCUAGGUGGAUUAUGGCGCACGGGGAUAAUAUAUAGUUAAUCUGCCCUACACAAAAGGACAACAUCUAGAAAUGGAUGCUAAUACUUUAUACUCCUAUAUAACACAAGUUAUAUAGGGAAAGUUUUUUCGGUGUAGGAUGAGACUAUAUUGUAUCAGCUUGUUGGUAAGGUAAAGGCUUACCAAGGCUAUGACGCAUAACUGGUCUGAGAGGAUGAUCAGUCACAUUGGAACUGAGACACGGUCCAAACUCCUACGGGAGGCAGCAGUGGGGAAUAUUGCGCAAUGGGCGAAAGCCUGACGCAGCAACGCCGCGUGGAGGAUGACACUUUUCGGAGCGUAAACUCCUUUUCUUUGGGAAGAAUAAUGACGGUACCAAAGGAAUAAGCACCGGCUAACUCCGUGCCAGCAGCCGCGGUAAUACGGAGGGUGCAAGCGUUACUCGGAAUCACUGGGCGUAAAGGACGCGUAGGCGGAUUAUCAAGUCUUUUGUGAAAUCUAACAGCUUAACUGUUAAACUGCUAAAAUACGAUAAUCUAGAGUGAGGGAGAGGCAGAUGGAAUUGGUGGUGUAGGGGUAAAAUCCGUAGAUAUCACCAAGAAUACCCAUUGCG
rnacentral:rRNA from 1 species